rnacentral:tRNA from 1 species
GCUGAUAGGGCUGCUUAGCAGGCCACUGUGAUAUAGUGGUAGUAAGAGUUUUCUUCGUCAGUACC